UACGUAGGGUGCGAGCGUUGUCCGGAAUUAUUGGGCGUAAAGAGCUCGUAGGCGGUGUGUCACGUCGGCCGUGAAAACUUGGGGCUUAACUCCAAGCUUGCGGUCGAUACGGGCAGACUUGAGUUCGGCAGGGGAGACUGGAAUUCCUGGUGUAGCGGUGAAAUGCGCAGAUAUCAGGAGGAACACCGGUGGCGAAGGCGGGUCUCUGGGCCGACACUGACGCUGAGGAGCGAAAGCGUGGGGAGCGAACAGG
rnacentral:rRNA from 1 species